rnacentral:misc_RNA from 1 species
AAUUCUCAACCUUAUUAGCUUUUGUUGAUAAUGGAUUGGAUGUGGGGGUUUCUUUUGCUGGCUUCUUCACAGAUAUCAGCUCCCCUUAAAUGCAUUAGCUGGUGCCCCGCGUGGACCAUCUAUUGGUGUGAUAAUUAUCUACGCCGUGGAUGUCUGCAAUCAUAUGGGUUUUGCACUGCUUCUAACCGUCUGUUCAUUCGGACAAUACAUGACA